rnacentral:rRNA from 1 species
AAGUAAUAGUAGGUGGGGAGUCUCGCCGAUAGGGAGGGGGAAGUAAACUACGUAGGGAAACGGGUGGCUAAUACCGCAUAGUCUACGGACCAAAGCAGGGGCUCUUCGGACCUUGCACUAUCGGAUGAACCCAUAUGGGAUUAGCUAGUAGGUGGGGUAAAGGCUCACCUAGGCGACGAUCUCUAGCUGGUCUGAGAGGAUGAUCAGCCACACUGGGACUGAGACACGGCCCAG